GUUUUAAUUUGGGAAUUUAAUUUUUGAGUUAAAAAGCUUAAAUAUAUUUGUUGGACGAGAAGACCCUAUAGAUCUUUAUAAUUUCAUAUUUCGGUAAUUUAGGGAUUUAUUUACUUGGAGUGGCAGAAUUAUUUGGUUGGGGUGACUGUAGAAUUGAAACAACUUCUAUUUAUUUAUUUCAUUUAUUAGUGUUUUUUUGAUCCAUAUGUUAUGAUUAUAAGAUUAAGUUACCUUAGGGAUAACAGCGUAAUUUCCUCGGAGAGUUCAUAUUGAUGGGGGA
rnacentral:rRNA from 1 species